AUUGAACGCUGGCGGCAGGCCUAACACAUGCAAGUCGAGCGAGCGGCGGACGGGUGAGUAAUGCCUGGGAAUUGCCCAGUCGAGGGGGAUAACAGUUGGAAAAGACUGCUAAUACCGCAUACGAUUGGAUUGCCCAGGUGUGAUUAGCUAGUUGGUGAGGUAACGGCUCACACAGGCGACGAUCCCUAGCUGGUCUGAGAGGAAGAUCAGCCACACUGGAACGGAGACACGGUCCAGACUCCUACGGGAGUCAGCAGUGGGGAAUAUUGCACAAUGGGGGAAAGUCUGAUGCAGCACUGCCGCGUGUGUGAAGAAGGCCUUCGGGUUGUAAAGCACUUUCAGCGAGGAGGCGUUACUCGCAGAAGAAGCACCGGCUAACUCCGUGCCAGCAGCCGCGGUAAUUC
rnacentral:rRNA from 1 species